AAGCAUAUUAAUAAGCGGAGGAAAAGAAACUAACAAGGAUUCUCUUAGUAAGGGCGACUGAAGCGAGAAUAGCUCAAGAUGUUAAUUGGUGUGUCAUGCACUGAAUUGUGGUCUAUUGAUAUUUGUGUUAAAAUGUGGAUGAAGUCUCCUGGAAUGGAGCGGCAGAGAGGGUGACACCCCCGUGAAUCUACGUUGCAAAACUUUUAUCAUUGAGUCGAGUUGCUUGGGAUUGCAGCUCUAAGUGGGUGGUAAAUUCCAUCUAAAGCUAAAUAUUUUUGGGAAACCGAUAGUGAACAAGUACCGUGAGGGAAAGAUGCAAAGAACUUUGAAAAGAGAGUUAAAGAGUACCUGAAAUUGCUGAAAGGGAAGCGAAGAAAACCAGUGUAAGUUAAAACAUAUUUGUCACCUGGCUUGCUGGGAGACCGCUAUGCUUAACGUCGCCUCGGUUGGUUGGAUUGGAAAAAUAUUUGUGGUUUCUGUUAGAGACUGCAUAGUUUUUUGAUCUGACUGAGUUGAGUCAAAAUGGUUUUCUUCACCCCGUCUUGAA
rnacentral:rRNA from 1 species